rnacentral:misc_RNA from 1 species
GGAAUGGAUAUCAGGUGUGUUAUUGUCCUCUGCAUGGUAGUGUUCCUUUGUUUUGUUGUUUUGACAUGUAAAUGAAGCUGUCUAAAGUAUGUGUUUUUUCUUUAAAAUUGAACUUAAAAGAGGUGACAUUGAAUAUUGAAUGUUAGUGGGCAAAGAAGAAUGUGUAGGAUAUCUUCCUAAAUUGCCCUUUAUUCCUUUUUUGAUUGGAUUUUGACUUUUAUGUGGAUCCUUUUUAAGGAAAAAAAAAUUGAGUGGGUUUUUUAUUUUUUACUACUAAUUUUUAGUGGUGUCAUAAUUAAUUUUGCAAUGGGGUCAAAAUAUAAUUUCCUUCUAAUAUAUUUGUCUUUUUUAAUUAUACAUAGAAUCAGUGGGAUCAAUUGACUACUUUAUACGAGGUAAAUAUGUCCCUGCAAGGGGCCUUAGUUCUUUGGGCUUAGUCUCACUCUAUUUUGUGUCAUUAACUUUUUGUGGAGUUGCUUGUGUUGUGCAUGGAGAACACUGGAAUAUAUUAGCACUUAAAGAGUUGCAUUAAGUAAAAUAUAAUGAUAAUUGAUAAAUGUCUAUAUGGUUAACAGAAAACAAAGUAGCUUAUUUUUCUCAUUGUUUAUCCAUUUAAGGCUAUGCAAUCAGUCAGUUCGGUGUUCAAACGAAAUACUGGAAAACCAAAUUGGUAAAUAUUGAGAACCAAACAAAAUUGGGGGUUAUAACCAAAUUGAACAAAAAGAUUUUUAAUUUUGAUUUGUUGGUUUGGGAUUAUAGAUAGAAUUAACGCAAACAGAAUUACGCACGGAAUUAACAAAAACAUAAAUGGCCAAAAUCAAUACAAACAUAACGGGAAUGCAGAAUCAACAUAAACAUAAUUGACAAAAUCAAUACAAACAUAACGGGAAUGCAGAAUCAACAUAAACAUAAUUGACAAAAAUGCACAGAAGCAACACAAUCACAAAUGCAAAAAAUCAACACAAGAUAUUUCUUAGCCAAGAGCAUACAGCAGAAUAUAUGCAAUUAUAGCUCCCAUCUUAAUAAAUGCUAAUCUUAGUUUGGAAAAUAAGAACACAAGAUAUUUCUGAACCAAGAGGAGAUGACAUAAUAUAUGUAAGUUUUUUUAUUACUUAUCCCCGGCAAGCAGAAAUGUUACUUCUCUAGUAGUGGAUUUUUAGUGGCAAUGGAGAGAGGAUUUGCAGCGGCCAGAGGCAAGGCAAGAUAGAGAAGGAGGAACACAGAGCAAAGAGAGAACUAGAAAGUAGAAAUGCACUUUGAAGAGUUGAGAAAUGAGGACUGAACUCUGAAGGAGAAAGUAGAAAUUAGAAAUGCAGAAAUGGGCAAUGGCUCGAGGUUGUAGGGACGCAGAGGAGUUGCAGACGGCACCCAUAUAUAGGAGAAAAGAAAGGGUUAAUUAGGUUUAGGUGUUGGGGAUUUUGACAUUUUGUAAUGGACUUGGGCUGGACAGAGGGGCUAAAUGACAACCCCGAAAUGCAAAAUGGCAGCCCCGUAAAUGUGGGAAAAAAAUGUCGGUUCAUUUUUUUUUCUUUUUUUUGGGAGAAAAUAACUGAACCAAAAUGAAAAUAACCUAAUCAAACUGAAAAUAGAAGUUUCUAAAAAAAAAAAAAAAUACUAACCAAAUAGAAAACCGAAUGAAAAUGGAUCAGUUUGAUUUUUCGGAUAUAACUGAUUUUUGCUCAGCCCUACAUCCAAUGCUUAGUUUUUACAAGUUCUCUGCACAACCUGUAUUUUCUUUUAAUCCUUCUUUCCCCUUCUGAUGCAGUUGAUGUUUAAAAUUAAUUUUGAUGUCAAUAGAAGUUGCAUUUAAAAUUUCUAUGCCUAUUUUUUUAGAGCUUACUUUAUAUUAAUCACUCUUAAAAUCACUUACAAAAUUUAUUACCAAAUAACUUUCCCAUCAAUUAUAUUCCUUUUUUGCUUGUCAAGGCUCCUGCAUUUCCACCAGAGAGGAGGAGUAUACACCCAGGUUCAGCGUAUGUCAUAAGCAAUCCAGCUACAGAUACCAACGUCUAUGCGCAUCAGCAGCAGAUGACAUUCGAUGAAUAUCCAGAACGACCUGGACAACCAGAGUGCAGUUAUUA